GAUGAACGCUGGCGGCGUGCCUAAUACAUGCAAGUCGAGCGAACAGAUAAGGAGCUUGCUCCUUGGACGUUAGCGGCGGACGGGUGAGUAACACGUGUGUAACCUACCUAUAAGACUGGAAUAACUCCGGGAAACCGGGGCUAAUGCCGGAUAACAUUUAGAACCGCAUGGUUCUAAAGUGAAAGAUGGUUUUACUAUCACUUAUAGAUGGACCCGCGCCGUAUUAGCUGGUUGGUAAGGUAACGGCUUACCAAGGCAACGAUACGUAGCCGACCUGAGAGGGUGAUCGGCCACACUGGAACUGAGACACGGUCAAGACUCCUACGGGAGGCAGCAGUAGGGAAUCUUACGCAAUGGGCGAAAGCCUGACGGAGCAACGCCGCGUGAGUGAUGAAGGUCUUCGGAUCGUAAAACUCUGUUAUUAGGGAAGAACAAAUGUGUAAGUAGCUGUGCACGUCUUGACGGUACCUAAUAAGAAAGCCACGGCUAACUACGUG
rnacentral:rRNA from 1 species